AUGUUCCUCAACACUUCCUUUAAAUCUCCUGUCUGGUAGCUUCAGCAUGUGUCGAAUGAGGCAUUCAAACCCGGGAUUCACAUUGUUCCAGUGGUGGCAAAACUUCUCAAGCAGCAUCUUCUCCCCCUCUACAUGGAUGGGAAAAGAUAUCAGUUGUUUAGUUGCAGAGCUAUUAUAGUGAAAAUGACAAUGAAAAUAAUAUUAUAAUUUACUCACAUAUGUCGUGCCUGCUUCUGUUGUGUAAGCUGGGCAGUUUUUAACAUUUGAAUCAACCAUCCCUGCAGCUCUUCUGCUCGGUACAGAGGAUUAACAGUUCUUACUUCAAUGGGAACAUCUACAUCUUCAAAGGAAGACUCCAUCAAGGAACUGUCCACAAUGCUUUUCUUUCCCAUGAAAUGUCCUUAAUACAAAAACAUAAUCUCAAUAUAGACUUUACACAUUUAAGAAAAAUCACAUCAUAAAUUGCUAGAGUGCUUUAAACUGCUAUAGAGAAAUUUCUCUUACCUGUCGCCCACAGAUUUCCUCUUGGAUUCACCUUUAUCUUUGAAACUUUGUUUCUCAGUUCAGUUAAAUCAAGAGUCAUUGAAGAAGUCAUAGCCAUGUAUGAGAUAAGGAUGAAAGAAGACAGGAAUCCUGCUCUGCAGAUCUUUGUCAAAGUGGCAGUCAUUCCUCAGAUGUAUGUUGCACAAUUUAACACCAGUUCAUUAAAAUAUCAUUGCUCUUCUGUUACUUGGGAGACAUGGAGUUAUACUGAGAUAGGAUGGGCUUAAUAUUCUGAUAGGAUGAAGUCAUCCAUCUGUGGCUGGUUUCCCAUUGGAUGAAUGAUGCACAUUAGGAUGCCUUGUGCCUUCUGACUUGCUAUGAUGAGUGUAAAGUACGUGACCUCAAUGCGAAACCUCUAAUUAUGACAUCCAAAUACCAUUAAAUACUUCCCCCAG